GUAGGGAUGCUUCGACCAUCUUGUUGAGCCAAUGAAUCAAAUCGACUUGUUAGAUAAGUUGUGGCAUCUUUUUUUUUUUUUUCUAGUUACCUUGGUUUGUUGUCACAAAUUGAUUGUGGGUCAAGUAGGAAGGGUUUGCUUAUAGAUUUAAGAUUUAUAUAUGCUGAUGUUAUAUGUGAGAUUUUUUGUCACAAUGUUGGUCUUAGUUUAUGCAUCAAUUCAUGAAGCUAAAUGUCACUAAGAAAGGAAGAGAUGGGAAAAACUUUCAUGGGAGAGAAUUCCCCCAUAAAAUGGACUCUCCUCCAUUGCUUAUCUCUCGGCCAUUUGUCCUAACUUAUAGGAGGAGCAUGGCGAGGCCUUCCUUGGCUGAAUGGACUUGCUUCUCUUUUUUCGUAGGCAUGUUCCUUUGGUCCAAGCUUCUUCCCUUCAUUAAUCCACUGUUGGCCAAUAAAUGGAAAACUUACUUGAGUUUCUUGGAUCU
rnacentral:lncRNA from 1 species